UUGGAGGGCAAGUCUGGUGCCAGCAGCCGCGGUAAUUCCAGCUCCAAUAGCGUAUAUUAAAGUUGUUGCAGUUAAAAAGCUCGUAGUUGAAUUUCGGGAUCAGAGUGUCGGUCGUGCCUCGGUACGCACUGGUAUUAUUGGUUCCUACCUUCUGAAGAACCGUGAUGUCAUUAAUUUGGUGUCGUGGGGAAUCAGGACUGUUACUUUGAAAAAAUUAGAGUGUUUAAAGCAGGCUUACGCUUGAAUACAUUAGCAUGGAAUAAUGAAAUAGGACGUUUGAUUCUAUUUUGUUGGUUUCUAGGAUUGACGUAAUGAUUAAUAGGGAUAGUUGGGGGCAUUAGUAUUCAAUUGUCAGAGGUGAAAUUCUUGGAUUUAUUGAAGACUAACUACUGCGAAAGCAUUUGCCAAGGAUGUUUUCAUUAAUCAAGAACGAAAGUUAGGGGAUCGAAGACGAUUAGAUACCGUCGUAGUCUUAACCAUAAACUAUGCCGACUAGGGAUCGGAUGAUGUUAAUUUUUUAAUGACUCAUUCGGCGCCUUACGGGAAACCAAAGUGUUUGGGUUC
rnacentral:rRNA from 1 species